UAAUUUUUUUUUUAUUUGUUUGUGUGUGUGUGCCUUUAUAUAUAUAUAUAUAUAUAUAUAUGAUGAUCCUGCAGCAAGCUUUCAACCCGGAUCUAAGUCUUUCUUCAUCAUACGUUAUUGGCCUAUUGGGCUUCCUAAAUUCCCAUGAAAAAGGUUAACUAUAUUUAAGGAACUCAGAUUCUGAUGAAGAUAAAUCAACAUGUUUUCGAUAUCAAGGUUUUCCUUAUUUUCAAAUUAAGUUUAGGUUAGAGGGUAAAUUAGGGGGUUUGGCUCGAGCUUGGGUACCGGGUUGAAACGAGUUCAUUUAUAUUUAUUUUGUUUCUAGAGGUUGUAAAUGGAAGACCAUACGAAUUCAUAUCGUGCCCGUUUUUGUUUUUGGAUAAUGUUUAUGUUUACUCUGAAUGAAUAGCGGGGGUUGUAAUGCUUUUUAAUUAGUUGUAUUUUCCUGUUUGUAACUCUGAUUUUAUCAUCAUUAUAAUAUUAAUUCUAAAGCUUUGUUCUGCAUUUUUUUCCCAUUAGAUACGUAUAUUUGAUAUAUGAGGGGUGAACUUUUAUUUGUACAUUGAUACAAGAAAACAUAACCAACUCAUGAUAUGCAUAUAUAUUUAAUUAUUAGCAAAUGUAAUGCCAUGAUCAUCCUUUAUGCAUCGGUGAAUAUUGAUCGUGUUGUUAAUACAUGAUGCGUACUUCCAAUCAUUCAAAGUCUGGCAUGGUUGACACAAUGAGUAGCAUCUCUGAUGGGAGCUGCUGGAUAAAAAUGAGGCCCGUAUCUGUUUUUAAGCUUGGGUUUGUUUUGUGUUAUCUUUGUAGGGUAAUGAGCCAAAAUUUCCUAUUUUGACUACCAAUGUUUGGAUCAAGAAUAGCUGGUAUAACUUCACGUGCACAAGGGAAAGGUGUCGAAAGGGUGUUUCACAAAGGAAUGGAAACUUCUGGUGCAACGCCUGUGAGACAAGUGUGUCGUUCUCAGUGCGAAACCGAUUUAAUUAUACGUUUUUAAGUGUUGGAUUUCAUUUACAGAAUUGAUUAAAGUUUGGUGUUUGCUAUUACUAGAUUAUUGGGGGUGAUGUGCUUAAUGAUGGAUCUAUUGCUGAGAUAAAAACAGGAUUGUGAAAAACAUUGGUUUCGACAUUGACUACAUACCUUAAUGGCUUGACUUGCGAGGGUGCUCAUGCAUUGUAGACUGCAGAUAAAGAAUACUCGGAAGGUGGAAUACUUACAGUAUCUUAUACGUACAUAGGGGGUCAUGAAGGAAAGAGCAUUUACAAUUGGUAUUUGCAUGAGGUAUUUUACUUUUCAGUUUUUCUAUAUGUAUCAUCGCUAUAGCAUUUUCGUUCAUAUAUUAUUGGGCUAUGUACGUGCAAAUUGAGACUGAUCCUGGCAUGUAAACCUGAGGUCUGAGGUAACCUGAGGUAUAAUGUCAAGAAAGAUGUGAAUGGUAACAAAGCCAGAAUUAGUGGAAUGGAUUAUAGGUCACAGUGAGAACGUCCCAAAAGUGAUCCGCUUUGAUUCAUCACCAAAACUACAAAAUAAAGUAGGAGGCUCAUUUAUUGCUAGAUAAAAUACAGGUAACUGAUUCAGCAAAUUUAAGAAGAAAACAAAGGAGAUCGAGAAACUAACCCAAACUAUAUAUGAAUCAUGGAUCAAAUAUAAUUCUGGUGAUAUAAUUAAUGUUCUGUUUACUAAUUAUAAUCAAUUCUUACAUUAAACCAGUAUUGGUUCUGAAGAAUUGGAAAGCACAAGGGUUUUCGACCCUGAAUAGCGUGGUCAACAACUGCAGUCAUCAGGUCAUAAACUGUGUUAAUGGUCUGUUAUGUGACCGUAGAUUUUUAAUAUUUCACAAGAGUGCAACCACUAUGCCAUUUAUGUGGACUCAAUGAUGAACAUGUGAAGGAUAUGAAAUAUGUUUUUUGAAGAUGUCAUGCAUCAUUUUUAUGAACUGCUCAUCUAAAAGCCAUUAUAUCAUGGCUAAAAUCAUUCCAUCGAAGGGAAAAGAAACCAUCCAAGGCAGUCUCAUGUUCUUUGAUGAGCUACGCGAAGGGUCAUCCAAGGGUUUUGCGAUGAAUCUGCAGUCGUCUGAUCUGCAGGAUGGUUUCGAUAUUCGAGUCCCAUCAUAUGCGGAUCAAGCUUCCUUGGAGAGGCUUAUUGCUGAAGAAGUGGCUCCAACUUCGCGUAACAUGACUUUUGAGCAUGGUCGGGCAGUUUAAACAAAAGGUGUUUGUGCUUGAUGAGAACGGAAAGCCGAUUUUGACAGCCCAUGAUAGCUCAAAUCCUCGGUGGUCACUUCUAGAGGAAAAUUUGGAAAACUUGCAAAACCAGAGAUCUUUCCUGUUUCAACUGAUGCUCGCUACUUCUGAAUGAAGGGCCGACAAUCCGCUUUUUCCAUUGGCAAACACUCAUAUUCUUCUUCAUGAUCAUAAUGAGGAAGAUAGUCUGUAUAUGUUGAGGGACUUUACUAUCCAGUGCAACAAGGAAACGUUCCGAAUUAUGAAAGACUAUGAUUACCUCAUGGACUAGCAAGGGUCUGCUAUCAUUAGGAAAGCACCUGGCUGGUUACCAAUAUAAUGUUAAUGAAUGUUGUUUUUUUAAUAGCCUAUGUUGGGACAUAAUCUCUUAAACCUAUUUAGAUGUUUUUUACCAUUUAAAAAAGCGGACUGGUUUUAUUUGCAUUUAACUUCUGGUUGAUGAGUUUUCUUAUACUUUUUUCUAUAUUGAUGUACAGAUUCUCAUGGAUGAUCACCAACGACCUGAUGGGUCACCUGUUACAGAUUCUCAUGGUUCAUGAUUGUGACACAAGUCUGAUGUAUUUGGGGGUUGUAAGUCUAUCAUGGUGAAGUGAGCAUAUCGGUUACUCAUGAUGAACUCGAUCUAUAUGGAUAGCUUCGGCUUACAAGUGUAUGGGAUCAUGUUUAAUCUUUUUCCCCUCCUGAAGUUGUAAGUAUUACUUGGCAAUAAUGAACCCCGCACUACAUGACUUUUAUAAUUACGAGACUGGUGAUCCAAAAUUUCAAAAUCUUCUUCCAGAUUUUGUGCAGAGCCUUGCACUGUUCGGUGCACUUCUCUUUUCCAUUUGAAUCGAGAUUAUUGCUUCCUGGGAAAGUAAUCAAAAAGAAGUCUCUUAAAGCCAAGACAUCUUAGAUCCCUGACGAAAUGACUUGAAUUGCUCGAUUGUAACUCUCUUACUAAUUUUGUAGUUAUGUUAGAAUAUUUCAACAGCUGGUAAUAGUGAAUAAAUUGCUGAUUAAAUCCA